CGCAAUUAAUUGUGAGUNAGCUCCCCUCAUUAGCCCCCCCAGGCUUUNACAUUUUAUGCUNCCGNUUCGUAUGUUGUGGGAANUNGUGAGCGNAUAACCAUUUCCACNCAGAAACCAGUUAUGCCCAUGAUUACGAAUUCGAGCUCGGUACCCGGGGAUCCUCUAGAGAUCCCUGACGCAGCGACGCCGCGUGGAGGAUGAAGCCCCUUGGGUCGUAAACUCCUGUCAGGAAGGACGAAUGGCACAAAGGCGAAUACCCUUUGUGUUUGACGGUACUUCCAAAGGAAGCUCCGGCUAACUCCGUGCCAGCAGCCGCGGUAAGACGGAGGGAGCAAGCGUUGCUCGGAAUUACUGGGCGUAAAGGGCGUGUAGGCGGAACGGCCAGUCGGGUGUGAAAGCCCUGGGCUCAACCCAGGAAGUGCAUUCGAUACUACCGGUCUAGAGUGUGGUAGAGGAGAGCGGAAUUCCCAGUGUAGCGGUGAAAUGCGUAGAUAUUGGGAAGAACAUCUGUGGCGAAGGCGGCUCUCUGGGCCACUACUGACGCUGAGGCGCGAAAGCUAGGGGAGCGAACGGGAUUAGAUACCCCGGUAGUCCUAGCCGUAAACGAUGGGCACUAGGUGCGGGGGGAGUUGACCCCUUCCGUGCCGGAGCUAACGCAUUAAGUGCCCCGCCUGGGGAGUACGGCCGCAAGGCUAAAACUCAAAGGAAUUGACGGGGAAUCG
rnacentral:rRNA from 1 species